GAGCCUCCCCACAAAAGCCAGGGGCCGGAGACGCCCUUCGAAGCCUGCGGUUACCUGCAGGAGAAGGUACGCUGGCGAUGACCCGGGAAUGCCACAGCCCUCACACGGUUAACCCCACAAGCGCACACUCUGGCAAUCCCAGCCGUGCUCCAGCUGUUUCGGCUUCUGACACAGCCUCCGCAGAAACCGAGAGCUGGGACGGCCCCGCUUCCAGGCUUUUGUCCCGACCCAGGCCCGGCCCCCUCAGUCCACCUCCCGGAGCUCCGCCCCUGCCCCGCCGCCAAUCGCCGCGCGCUGACCCAAUGAGAUGGGCGGGGCCAGGGGCCAGGGGCGGGUCCCGGAAGGCUAGGUCGAAUUCCGCGGCGAAUUCCAAGCGCUCAAGGUAGGGAAGGGCUUGCAGCGCCUUUGGAGUCGGCCGCCACUGCUCUACGGCAGAAGGACGAGAUUGCCACCUGCAGGCUGGGGAGCAGGGCACGCCUGGGCCGGUCUUCUGAAUCCUCCGCCGACAACCUAGGGCCCGGCGGAGUGAGUUUCCACUUCUGCAAUAAAGGCAAACCGGGGACGGCGCGGCUCGGACCAAUCCCCUUCCCUGCGCGCCCCGGCUGUGUGGUACACUGGAACGCGCUUGGACAGAAGGAAAAGUGCCUUGGGCAAGCGUGACAUCGCUUUGGGGGCUUCGCGCAGCUGGAAUGCAAAGGGUUGAACAGUUGCACAAGCAGGCAUGGUACAGUAAAUUUCCGCCACCGCCGAUGACUAAGUCUUUAGAGCUUCGAAAGGAUUUAGAGCAACCUUCAAGAUACAUACAGUAUAGCACGACAAAGGACAUUGAAUAUAGGUGAGGAAAAGAUAGAAUAAAUACAGGAAAUUGUACAGAACCAAGCUCACAGGAAACAUCCUGACCAGGUGGACCUGUGGAUGACUGCAGGGAGGAAGAAAUUAACACAUCUUCUGUGGAGGCUGACUGGAACCAGGAAAUGUUUGACUUCACUCCCUCCCCUUUUAGUAUAAAAGAAGCCUGAAUUCUAACUCAGGCAAGCUGGUUCUUUGGGGGCACGAGUUCACCAUCUUCUUGGUUUGCGGGGUUUCUGAAUAAACUCGC